rnacentral:rRNA from 1 species
UUCGUAUCGAUGGGGAUGNGUUCCAUUAGGUUGUUGGCGGGGUAACGGCCCACCAAGCCUUCGAUGGAUAGGGGUUCUGAGAGGAAGGUCCCCCACAUUGGAACUGAGACACGGUCCAAACUCCUACGGGAGGCAGCAUG